AAAAAGUAGAGAGGAUAUAGUGAAGUGAAGGAAUAGGUGGCGAAAUUCAGCUGAAAUUCAUCCCAAAUAAAUGCGAAAUGACUCCACCUAAUACUCACAUAUUCUAUGAUUCUAUCUCUAUAGUACAUCCCUCCUCCUCUUCCGCUCCAACCAUUAGCCGCCCCUCAUUUCUCCUUCUCUCUCUACCUACCUUCUUUCUCUCUCUACUUCUUCUCCCAAACAAAACAGAAGUUUUAACUCUCUCUCUCUCUCU
rnacentral:lncRNA from 1 species